UGACUUGGCGGGGUGCUAAUACAUGCAAGUCGAACGCUUUGUGGUUCAACUGAUUUGAAGAGCUUGCUCAGAUAUGACGAUGGACAUUGCAAAGAGUGGCGAACGGGUGAGUAACACGUGGGAAACCUACCUCUUAGCAGGGGAUAACAUUUGGAAACAGAUGCUAAUACCGUAUAACAAUGACAACCGCAUGGUUGUUAUUUAAAAGAUGGUUCUGCUAUCACUAAGAGAUGGUCCCGCGGUGCAUUAGCUAGUUGGUAAGGUAAUGGCUUACCAAGGCGAUGAUGCAUAGCCGAGUUGAGAGACUGAUCGGCCACAAUGGGACUGAGACACGGCCCAUACUCCUACGGGAGGCAGCAGUAGGGAAUCUUCCACAAUGGGCGAAAGCCUGAUGGAGCAACGCCGCGUGUGUGAUGAAGGGUUUCGGCUCGUAAAACACUGUUGUAAGAGAAGAAUGACAUUGAGAGUAACUGUUCAAUGUGUGACGGUAUCUUACCAGAAAGGAACGGCUAAAUACGUGCCAGCAGCCGCGGUAAUACGUAUGUUCCAAGCGUUAUCCGGAUUUAUUGGGCGUAAAGCGAGCGCAGACGGUUAUUUAAGUCUGAAGUGAAAGCCCUCAGCUCAACUGAGGAAUUGCUUUGGAAACUGGAUGACUUGAGUGCAGUAGAGGAAAGUGGAACUCCAUGUGUAGCGGUGAAAUGCGUAGAUAUAUGGAAGAACACCAGUGGCGAAGGCGGCUUUCUGGACUGUAACUGACGUUGAGGCUCGAAAGUGUGGGUAGCAAACAGGAUUAGAUACCCUGGUAGUCCACACCGUAAACGAUGAGUGCUAGGUGUUUGAGGGUUUCCGCCCUUAAGUGCCGCAGCUAACGCAUUAAGCACUCCGCCUGGGGAGUACGACCGCAAGGUUGAAACUCAAAGGAAUUGACGGGGACCCGCACAAGCGGUGGAGCAUGUGGUUUAAUUCGAAGCAACGCGAAGAACCUUACCAGGUCUUGACAUCCCUUGACAACUCCAGAGAUGGAGCGUUCCCUUCGGGGACAAGGUGACAGGUGGUGCAUGGUUGUCGUCAGCUCGUGUCGUGAGAUGUUGGGUUAAGUCCCGCAACGAGCGCAACCCUUAUUACUAGUUGCCAGCAUUCAGUUGGGCACUCUAGUGAGACUGCCGGUGACAAACCGGAGGAAGGUGGGGAUGACGUCAAAUCAUCAUGCCCCUUAUGACCUGGGCUACACACGUGCUACAAUGGCGUAUACAACGAGUUGCCAACCCGCGAGGGUGAGCUAAUCUCUUAAAGUACGUCUCAGUUCGGAUUGUAGGCUGCAACUCGCCUACAUGAAGUCGGAAUCGCUAGUAAUCGCGGAUCAGCACGCCGCGGUGAAUACGUUCCCGGGUCUUGUACACACCGCCCGUCACACCAUGAGAGUUUGUAACACCCAAAGCCGGUGGGGUAACCUUCGGGAGCCAGCCGUCUAAGGUGACAGAAAUC
rnacentral:rRNA from 1 species